rnacentral:rRNA from 1 species
UACGAAGGGGGCUAGCGUUGCUCGGAAUCACUGGGCGUAAAGUGCACGUAGGUGGAUCGCUAAGUCAGGGGUGAAAUCCUGGAGCUCAACUCCAGAACUGCCUUUGAUACUGGCAAUCUCGAGUCCGGGAGAGGUGAGUGGAACUGCGAGUGUAGAGGUGAAAUUCGUAGAUAUUCGCAAGAACACCAGUGGCGAAGGCGGCUCACUGGCCCGGUACUGACGCUGAGGUGCGAAAGCGUGGGGAGCAAACAGG